UACGUAGGGUGCAAGCGUUAAUCGGAAUUACUGGGCGUAAAGCGUGCGCAGGCGGCUUUGCAAGACAGAUGUGAAAUCCCCGGGCUCAACCUGGGAAUGGCAUUUGGGACUGCAAGGCUGGAGUGUGGCAGAGGAGACUGGAAUUCCUGGUGUAGCAGUGAAAUGCGUAGAUAUCAGGAGGAAUACCGAUGGCGAAGGCAGGUCUCUGGGCUGACACUGACGCUCAUGCACGAAAGCGUGGGGAGCAAACAGG
rnacentral:rRNA from 1 species